GGCUGUUCUGAAGGUAGUGAGUUAUCUCAGUUGAUUUUUCACAGUCAGCUAUAGAUCGAACGCCUUGUUCUGCUCUUUCACCCCUUCUCACCAUUGCACUUGACUAGUGCUUUU
rnacentral:Y_RNA from 1 species